rnacentral:rRNA from 1 species
AUCUAUGGCCAUACCACCCUGAACACGCCUGAUCUCAUCUGAUCUCGGAAGCUAAGCAGGGUCGGGCCUGGUUAGUACUUGGAUGGGAGACAAAAUUUCAAAGUCAUAAUUA